rnacentral:rRNA from 1 species
CCAAUAGCGUAUAUUAAAGUUGUUGCAGUUAAAAAGCUCGUAGUUGAAUUUCGGGGUCAGCAGGUCGGUCGUGCCAAUGGUAUGCACUGGCCUUGCUGAUUCCUCCCUCUUGAUGAGCCGUAAUGUCAUUAAUUUGGUGUUGCGGGGAAUCAGGACUGUUACUUUGAAAAAAUUAGAGUGUUUAAAGCAGGCAAGCGCUUGAAUACAUUAGCAUGGAAUAAUGAAAUAGGACGUUUGAUCCUAUUUUGUUGGUUUCUAGGAUUGACGUAAUGAUUAAUAGGGAUAGUUGGGGGCAUUAGUAUUCAAUUGUCAGAGGUGAAAUUCUUGGAUUUAUUGAAGACUAACUACUGCGAAAGCAUUUGCCAAGGAUGUUUUCAUUAAUCAAGAACGAAAGUUAGGGGAUCGAAGACGAUCAGAUACCGUCGUAGUCUUAACCAUAAACUAUGCCGACUAGGGAUCGGAUGAUGUUAAUUUUUUAAUGACUCAUUCGGCGCCUUACG